UAUUUCGAAAAUAAAAGAUUUAAGGAUUCUUUUUAGUUUUUGUUUCAGUGAAAUUAAUGAAGAUUUCUUAGGGGUGAGAUACUAAUCGAUUUUAUUAAUAUCUAAUAACUUCGGAAAUAAAUUUAGUUUAGAAUGUGGAGAGGUUGUCAUCUCAAAAAUGUUUUUAGAUUUUAGGGGAUGAGCUCUAAGAUUAAAUUAUAAGGAUAAAUAAUUUUGUUUUUCGAAUAAGCUUAGAAUUAGCUAUAAGAUAGUGUUAUAAAAUAAAAGUUUAAGUAUAAGAUUUAUGUUCCUUUGGAUUUUAAGAAGUUAUUUUGUAAAUAAAUUUUAUUUAGAAAAUAUGGUAGUAUUAGUAGAGAUAAUUUUGAAUUUCCCCAAUUUUUAUGUAUUUUUGAGUAUAGUAGAAGAAUUCGGCAAAUAAGAUUUCCGAAUGUUUAACAAAAACAUUUCCUCCUGGCUGAGGAGGUAAGCCUGCUCACUGAAUUUUUAAAGAGCCGCAGUAUUCUGACUGUGCUAAAGUAGCAUAAUCAUUAGUCUUUUAAUUGGGGACUGGUAUGAAUGGCUAAACGAGAGAUCAGCUUUUUUUAUUAUACGUAAAUUGAAUUUAACUUUUUAGUGAAAAGGCUAAAAUUCACCAGAAAGACG
rnacentral:rRNA from 1 species